UACAGAGGUCCCAAGCGUUGUUCGGAUUCACUGGGCGUAAAGGGUGCGUAGGUGGCCGGUUAAGUCUGACGUGAAAUCUCCGAGCCUAACUCGGAAACUGCAUCGGAAACUAUCCGGCUCGAGGGUUGGAGGGGGGACUGGAAUACUUGGUGUAGCAGUGAAAUGCGUAGAUAUCAAGUGGAACACCAGUGGCGAAGGCGAGUCCCUGGACAACUCCUGACACUGAGGCACGAAAGCUAGGGGGAGCAAACAGG
rnacentral:rRNA from 1 species